rnacentral:rRNA from 1 species
AUUGAACGCUGGCGGCAGGCCUAACACAUGCAAGUCGAGCGAGCGGCGGACGGGUGAGUAAUGUAUGGGGACUGCCCUAUAGAGGGGGAUAAUUACUGGAAACGGUAGCUAAUACCGCAUACUAUCGGAUAACCCAUAUGGGAUUGGCGAUUUGGGGAGGUAAUGGCUCACCAAGGCGACGAGCCAUAGCUGGUCUGAGAGGAUGAUCAGCCACACUGGGACUGAGACACGGCCCAGAUUCCGACGGAGGCAGCAGUGGGGAAUAUUGCACAAUGGGAGCAAGCCUGAUGGAGCCAUGCCGCGAGGCUGGAGAAGGCCCUAGGGUUGUAAAGUACUUUCAGUCGGGAGUCGUUUCCGACUAAAAUAGCCCCGGCUAACUCCGUGCCAGCAGCCGCGGUAAUUC